AGAAUCAACGCUGGCGGCGUGCCUAACACAUGCAAGUCGAACGAGAAAGUGGAGCAAUCCAUGAGUAAAGUGGCGCACGGGUGAGUAACACGUGACUAACCUACCCUUGAGUGGGGGAUAACCUAGGGAAACCUGGGCUAAUACCGCAUAAUACCUUCGGGUCAAAGGAGCAAUUCGCUUUAGGAGGGGGUCGCGGCCGAUUAGUUAGUUGGCGGGGUAAUGGCCCACCAAGACUGUGAUCGGUAUCCGGCCUGAGAGGGCGCACGGACACACUGGAACUGAAACACGGUCCAGACUCCUACGGGAGGCAGCAGUGGGGAAUUUUGCGCAAUGGGGGAAACCCUGACGCAGCAACGCCGCGUGGAGGAUGAAGCCCCUUGGGGCGUAAACUCCUUUCGAUCGGGAAGAUAAUGACGGUACCGAGAGAAGAACGCCCGGCUAACUUCGUGCCAGCAGCCGC
rnacentral:rRNA from 1 species